CCGCAGGGUUCAGAAAUAUUGUCUGUCUUCCGUGGCGGUCCGAGCUGCGAAGCAAGCAAGCCCGCAGACGCCGGCUGGAGCCCCGGGAAGAGUUUUCUUUUCUUGGUAAGGGGCGGGAUCCCUGGAAUCGUCUUGUCCGGUGCUAGGGACUGCGGCCCCGUAGAGCGUCGCGUCUCCGGCGGUGUCCGGCGAGCUCUGGCCGGCCCUUGAAAAUGCGGGGGAGUGCGUGGACCGUCGCCUCGGGUCGUAUCCAAAACCGCAGCCGGUCUCCAAGGUGAACAGCCUCUGGUAGAUAGAACAAUGUAGGUAAGGGAAUUCGGCAAGCCGGGUCCAUAACUCAGAGAAGGAUUGGCUCUGAGGCCUGGGUCGGUCGGGCCGGGGCUGGAAGCGGGUCGCGGCGCCCCAUGCCCGCGCCAUGUCCGAGCGGCGGCACUCUCCCCCCCCCCGCCGGACCGCGGGGCCGUACGCGUGGGUAAACGGCGGGAGUAACUAUGACAUUCUUAAGGUAGCCAAAUGCCUCGUCAUCUAAUUAGUGACGCACUUGAAUGGAUUAACGAGAUUUCCACUGUCCCAAUCUACUCUCUAACGAAACCACAGCCAAGGGAAGGGCUUGGCAGAAUCAGCGGAGAAAGAAGACCCUGUUGAACUUGACUCUAGUCUGACCUUGUGAAGAGACACGGGGGUGUAGGAUAGGUGGGAGGGCCCCGGCCCGACAGUGAAAUACCACUACUCUCGACGUUUCUUUACUUAGCCGGUGGGGCUGGGAGCGGGCCCUGCGCGGGCCCAGUCUUCUGGCGCUACGCGGCCGGCCGCCUCACGGCGCCGCCGGUCGCCACCCGCUCUGGCGACAGCGUCAGGCGUGGAGUUUGACUGGGGAGGUACAUCUGUCAAAGGGUAACGCAGGUGUCUUAAGGCGAGCUCAGCGAGGACAGAAAACCCCUUGCACGGAGCAAAAGGGCAAAAGCCCGUUUGAUUUCGAUUUUCAGUAUGAAUACAGACCGUCAAAGCGUGGCCUAUUGAUCCUUUUGAGCUUCGGAGUUUGAAGCAAGAGGUGUCAGAAAAGUUACCACGGGGAUAACUGGCUUGUGGCAGCCAAGCGUUCAUAGCGAGGAGGGCCGGCCGCCCGGCGGCCUUCGGGCGGGCCAGACCAUGAGGACGAGGAGACCGGGGAGAACUGGCGGCGGAGGAGGAGCGGGCACAGCUGAUGGCGGAGUGAACCGG
rnacentral:rRNA from 1 species